rnacentral:rRNA from 1 species
UGGGGAAUAUUGCACAAUGGGCGCAAGCCUGAUGCAGCCAUGCCGCGUGUGUGAAGAAGGCCUUCGGGUUGUAAAGCACUUUCAGCGAGGAGGAAGGUGGUGAGCUUAAUACGCUCAUCAAUUGACGUUACUCGCAGAAGAAGCACCGGCUAACUCCGUGCCAGCAGCCGCGGUAAUACGGAGGGUGCAAGCGUUAAUCGGAAUUACUGGGCGUAAAGCGCACGCAGGCGGUUUGUUAAGUCAGAUGUGAAAUCCCCGGGCUCAACCUGGGAACUGCAUUUGAAACUGGCAAGCUAGAGUCUCGUAGAGGGGGGUAGAAUUCCAGGUGUAGCGGUGAAAUGCGUAGAGAUCUGGAGGAAUACCGGUGGCGAAGGCGGCCCCCUGGACGAAGACUGACGCUCAGGUGCGAAAGGCGUGGGCAGANAAACAGGAUUAGAUACCCUGGUAGUCCACGCUGUAAAACGAUGUCGAUUUUGGAGGUUGUGCCCUUCGAGGCGUGGCUUCCGGAGCUAACG